UACGUAGGUGGCAAGCGAUACUCGGAAUCACUAGGCGUAAAGCGCAGGUAGGCGGUUCGGUAAGUCUUUUGUGAAAGCUCCUGGCUUAACUGGGAGAGGUCAAAGGAAACUACCGGACUAGAGUUUGGUAGGGGAUACUGGAAUUCCUGGUGUAGCGGUGAAAUGCGUAGAUAUCAGGAGGAAUACCUAUGGCGAAAGCAGGUAUCUGGGCCACAACUGACGCUGAGCUGCGAAAGCUAGGGGAGCAAACAGG
rnacentral:rRNA from 1 species